UUUUAAAAAAUUGGUAAUAAUUUUUUUAAUAAAGUUCAAAAAGUUUGAUAGAGAUAUAUAAUAAGCAAUUAUAAAAUUUUAUCAUUAAAAAGUUAAAUAUUUUAUACUAUUAUGUAUUGGUACACAUAUAGGGCAUGUUUGGUUUGAAAUCGGAGUCGGAAUCGGAAUCAAAAUAAGCUGGAAUCGGAAUCGAAAUGGCUCAUUACCUAAUUCUGUUUGGUUCAUCACCUGAAUCGGAAUCGGAAUAAAUCAUUCUCAUUGUCGGUAUUUGGUUCAGAUGGAUAUAAAAACGUAAUCAAAUGAAUAUACUAACAUUAUCUUUAUAAUAUAUUAAUUUAAAUUUAAAUUAAAUAUUAAAUAUUAAAAAUUUACGUCAAAAUUUUAAAAUAAUGUCAAAAUUUUAAAUCUAUUUUUUUUAAAAAAU
rnacentral:lncRNA from 1 species